GACGAACGCUGGCGGCGUGCUUAACACAUGCAAGUCGAACGAAGAGCGACGGAAGCUUGCUUCUAUCAAUCUUAGUGGCGAACGGGUGAGUAACGCGUAAUCAACCUGCCCUUCAGAGGGGGACAACAGUUGGAAACGACUGCUAAUACCGCAUACGAUCUAACCUCGGCAUCGAGGAUAGAUGAAAGGUGGCCUCUACAUGUAAGCUAUCACUGAAGGAGGGGACUGCGUCUGAUUAGCUAGUUGGAGGGGUAACGGCCCACCAAGGCGAUGAUCAGUAGCCGGUCUGAGGGGAUGAACGGCCACAUUGGGACUGAGACACGGCCCAGACUCCUACGGGAGGCAGCAGUGGGGAAUCUUCCGCAAUGGACGAAAGUCUGACGGAGCAACGCCGCGUGAGUGAUGACGGCCUUCGGGUUGUAAAGCUCUGUUAAUCGGGACGAAAGGCCUUCUUGCGAAUAGUGAGAAGGAUUGACGGUACCGGAAUAGAAAGCCACGGCUAACUACGUG
rnacentral:rRNA from 1 species